GUGAUAUGUUUAUAAUGGUCAUCUUCAAAAUAUAAUAUUUUCUGUGGAAAAACAAGGAGUUAUUUAAAAAGAUCCUUUUGGUACCAAGCUACACUGUAAGACAUAAGGUUUCAUGUAAUUAUAGCAACUUAUUACUGCUUUUCUGAUGUACAAAAUAUAUUCAUGUUUUCUGAUUACACAGGUCUUCCAGCAUAUUGUUUAUGACAAUAACCUUUUGAUCCAGAUAUUCGCCCUUCUCUUCUGCUCCACCUACUCAUGAUUUCAGUGAAGAGAACAACCCUAAAGGUAAUUGGGCUAAGAAGAUCACCAAUAUUUUGGCCCUGGACCUCCAAGAUCAUCAAAGAUCCAAGGUAUGAAGGGAUCUUUUCUACAACACCCUAUAUCUUUGAUAAGUCACCCAAUCUCCUGAGCAGGGAGAUUGCUGAGGGCAAAUGCACCUUGUGCCAAAACAGGGUCUCCAAGAGAAAAAAAAUCUCCCAUACUUUCACUGAAAGCAACUUGGUCAAGCAAGGCCGUGACCCAUCUGGAAGGCCGACACUGACAGAGGAACAGAGAGGCUCUACGCAUGGUUAGAAAGUAAUGGCCUGACCUUCAUAGAUAACAAGAGGUUCAUAUUAAUUAACGCAGGUCUCACUUUAACUUGGUCUUAAACACCCAGCAGAAAAUAAUAACCAGAAGAGGUAUAAAACAGUGCCAUAGUAAUAAAUGUAGGUAUAAAAAAAUACUCACCCCUUUUGGGUGUUUCUGGCUGUACUGUAUGGGAAUGAUUACAACUCUAGACUAUUCCAUGUGUAAAGAAAGGCAGGGUAUGUGGACCUGCUGGACACUAAAAACAUACUGGGAAUCAUUAAAACAAUGACAGGAGGAGGUAGAACAGCUCACAGCCAAAACACGGAAAACACCUCCCCCAAUAUAAAAACAUUGAUCUGUACACACACACACACACACAAAAAAAAAAAACCCAAAAAACAAAAAAACAAAAGCUUCUGAGAUCCAUAAAAGGCUCCUACACCUCAUGAAUACCACCCUACUUAGUUUGCCAGGCAACCAAACUGAGUGCUGAAUGUCCCUGUCACCCCGAUUCCAGCCAUGUCCCCACACCAAUUCCCCUUAACUGCACUAUCCCUGCCCAGAAAAUAUCACAACAAUAUUAGAUCUCUUAGCAACCCAAUGAAAAUCCUCCACACAUGGCAAUUGGACCUGCAUAAAUUCAUCCGUCAUAAAUCAGUACAGCUCCACCCCAUAGGCUAAACUUAUUCAUAUUCCUGAGUCAGGCAUAGCCUGUCUCACUAAAGGUUUGUUUUAUAUCUGUGACUCCCAAACCUUUUGUUGUUUCAAAUCAACCCUCUCUUCCCUCUGUUAUGUAGGCUUCCUUAGCCCUCCCCUCACAAUUUAUGCAGAAGCCCAGUUAUUACACCAAGUCUUGCCCUCACAACAGCCACCUAUCCACUGUCUCAAUAAACAAGCUCUUCCCAUCCUUCCCUUUCUGAUAAGGGCCGAUAUUCUGGUAGGAAUUGGCACUGGGUGGCAGGAAUCUCAACAUCAACAUUUCUAUGACUCCUUAUCCCAAG
ensembl:lincRNA